ACGAUGACUCUCGGCAAUGGAUAUCUCGGCUCUCGCAUCGAUGAAGAACGUAGCGAAAUGCGAUACCUGGUGUGAAUUGCAGAAUCCCAUGAACCAUCGAGUCUUUGAACGCAAGUUAUGCCCGAGGCCACCUGGUCAAGGGCACGCCUCCCUGGGCAUCACGC
rnacentral:rRNA from 1 species